rnacentral:rRNA from 1 species
UACGGAGGGUGCAAGCGUUAUCCGGAUUCACUGGGUUUAAAGGGUGCGUAGGUGGAUUAGUAAGUCAGUGGUGAAAUCUCCGGGCUUAACCCGGAAACUGCCAUUGAUACUAUUAGUCUUGAAUACCGUGGAGGUCAGCGGAAUAUGUCAUGUAGCGGUGAAAUGCUUAGAUAUGACAUAGAACACCAAUUGCGAAGGCAGCUGGCUACACGAGCAUUGACACUCAGGCACGAAAGCGUGGGGGUCAAACAGG